UUGCGGCAGCNNACNAUNGCAAGUCGAGCGGUAGCACAGGAGAGCUUGCUCUCUGGGUGACGAGGGAAGAAGGGUGAGUAAUGUCUGGGAAACUGCCUGAUGGAGGGGNAUAACUACUGGAAACGGUAGCUAAUACCGCAUAACGUCUACGGACCAAAGUGGGGGACCUUCGGNUUUCCAAAACAUCAGAUGUGCCCAGAUGGGAUUAGCUAGUAGGUGGGGUAAUGGCUCACAUAGGCGACNAUCCCUAGCUGGUCUGAGAGGAUGACCAGCCACACUGGAACUGANACACGGUCCACACUCCUCCGGGAGGCANCANUGGGGAAUAUUGUCAAUGGGCGCAAACCUGAUCCCCCCAUGCCGCGUGU
rnacentral:rRNA from 1 species